GUUCGCUUAUGGCUGUAUGGUGUUCAGCACCAAGGACAGGUAUGUUCGCUUAUGGCUGUAUGGUGUUCAGCACCGAGGACAGGUAUGUUCGUUU
rnacentral:pre_miRNA from 1 species